UCGGAUUCUGUGUCUCCCUCUCUCUGCCCCUCUCUGCUCAUGCUCUGUCUCUCUCACUCUCAAAAAUGAAUAAAUGUUUAAAAAAAGAAAAGUGGCUCUGAUCAUGCCACCUGCUGCUGAGACUCUCCUAGAGGUCCCCCUUGCAUGGGGUGAUGUCCAGUCUCCUAGUGCAGGUGGCACGCAGGCCAUCAGCCAGCCCCCUCUUAUCUCAGCCCUGGCCACUCACCACCACCUGCCUCAGCUGCCCCAUGUGCCCAUCCCCAUUCCUGCACCUGGCUGACUCCUCAUCUUUGUACCCUCGGGGUACCAUCGCCCCUGCUGCUGUGCUCAUGUGAAGUCUACACCUCGCCUCGGUCAUCUCCCAUUGCCCUGCCUGGCCUCUCAUGGCACAGAAGAGUCAUGUCAACACAUGUUUGUCAAGUGAAUAAAAAUUUGGGGUGAGGGGAGCCAUGGUGUGCUGGACCCCCGGGAGGCACGGCCUGGGAGGAAGGCACAGCACCCAGUGUCAGUGAGUGGUUACAAUGGAAUCACCUGGGCUUCGUGUGCACAUCUGUGUUUGUCAUAUCCAAGUGUUGUGGAAAAUCACGUUCCCCACCCGAGAGGUGGGAAAUGCAGAGGUCUCAUGACUCAUCAGAUCCUGGGUGGUGUUUGGGGACAGCAGUGAGACCCUGAGAAGCUGGCCCUGCAUGUGCUGAGGAGGGAGCCUGGGUGGGGCUGACCCUCCAGGUGACUGUCCACUCCUGAAGUGGGAGAUGGGUGGUGGGCACAGCAGGGUCACUGGGAGCUCCCCGGAGGCUGACAGACCUGGGAUGGACCACCUUGUGUGGAGGACUCAGGGGCCCCUCUCUGUGCCUGGUGUCCUCAUCCAUAACGUGGAGCCAGUCCCCACACUCCUGACUUGUCAGGGUUAAGGGAGAUAGGAAUGCAAAGCAGAAGCCAUUGGCAGCCAGCCGCUGUGGCCCCUGAGGACCCGGGUGGGAUGGGUCCUACCUGAACAGGUGGUGCCAGGGGCUUGCUGCUGGGCAUCUCCUACCCCGCCGUCCCUCCCGCCGUGUCUGCUCUCCCCUCUCAUCCAGCUCCUGUCCACCGGGCCACCGUGUACCCGACAGACCAGAGCCCACAGGUUUGGGGCGCCUGGGCUCCUCCACUCCAGGCCGGCACCUUCUCUUCCUGUUGCCCUGGAGGGCGGAGUUGAUUUGACUCCAUGAGGUGUACCCAGUGAGGGUGUUUGCUUCACAGGAGCUCCUUCCCCAGGAACAGCCACCCUGGCCCCGGGGCCUGUGGGAAGGUCCCCCCCCCCCCCGCCCCCGCCAGUGCGGCGGGUCCACCGGAGCCUGAUGUGAACUUGACUUGGCACUCAGGAUGGUGUACGUGGCCCGAGGGUAUGGUGGUCACCACGACAGGAAGGGGAGCUGGACCAAAGUGUCACCAACAUAGCAAUAUAAUAUUUGGGGGAAAGAGAGGUCACACGUUUCCACUGAGAGUUGUGUUUUAUUUCCGUUUAAGAAAUUCUUGCUUCCCAUUUGCAGCUACCCUGAACUCUGAAAACAGGCCCGGUGUGUGUGAGGGAAAGGGAAGUGAGAGCACCGGAAGAAGGGGCUUCUAGGGGUGGGGGAAGCAGGCCAUUUGGAGGGACUGUCCCUGAAGAGAGAGCAAAGGACUUGUGUGGGGAUGUGGGAGAACAUACCCCACAAGGAGGAGCCGUACUUGGGCCCCUCUGCAGGACCGAUCGCGUGUUGACCCUCCAGGUCCCGGUCACUCCCCAAAUGGCUCUGAGCCCGUGCCAAGCCAGGAGACCCUGUGGGGCGGUAAUGAGAAGCCCUAGGGACAUCUGAGCUGCCCUGCGUGCCAGGCUAGGCGGAGUGCUUUCUCUGAGCCAAUUUAGUUAAUCCUCACAACAAUUGGCACGUGGUUUGGAUCGCCUCCCUUCCCCGAUUCUGGCUGCCCUUACAAGAAAAUCCAGACUCCUCCCCAUGCAUGAUCCGGCCCCUGGAUGUCUCUGUGCUCUUCCCCUUGCUUGCUGUGCCCUGGCCAUACUGGAUGCCCUUCUCUUCCUGGAGCACACCAGCCUGGUCCUGCCUCAGGGCCUUUGCUCUCCACAUUGUGCAUGGUGACCUUUCCUCUGCCCUCCCGGCUGCUUCCUUCUCAUCACCUCAGCUCAAAUUGGGAGAGGUCCACCCCGGGCACCCUAAUAAAGUAGCUGUCACCCUCCAGACGUGCUGUGUCCCCAGUGUCUGAGAUGACCACUGUCUGCAUUUCUUGUGAGUCUAAAAGGAUGAUGAGUGGAAUUUUUUCUGUUUUCCCGGAAUUGCAGACUAGGCCCGGAACCGAGGACAGGACACACAAAAUACUUGCCUCCAUUCCAAGUUCAGGGAGCUGCAGGCAGCUGGGGUCAGCCUCCUCCCACAGGGCUGAUGGAGAGGUGUCCCCUCAGAAAGCCAGCCCCGCCCCCACCUCAUUCCCCUGCCGAGAAUGGUGGGGGGGGUGGCCUUUAGGCGAGUGCAGUGUUACUGGUGAAAAAGCAUGCCUCCCUCCCCAUCUGGAGGCCCAAGGAAGGCGGGGUUCCAGGGCACCUGCUGGCCAUCCCCUCCCCCUCCCCGGGCUGCCAGAGCACAGACGGAUGAGGGGAAGUGAGUGGGGGUGUGUCUGUCUGCACGGUGCCCUCACACCCCAGCCAGUGAGCCCUGAGGGUGAGCAGCAGGGGCUGCACGAGGUGGGUCGUAUCCCUCGGCUCCGGCUCCGUGUCUCGCACUGGCACCCGCCGCCGUUUGGGGAAGAGGGAUGGCUUGUGUGAGGUUCCUGCAAACAAGCGCCAAAGCUGGACUUGGAAGGCAGGCCUGACUGACCGAAAACCGGAUGGUCUCUGCGUUAGCUCCUGCCUCCCUUCUCUGCCCCUGACCGCCGGCAGCAAGCCUGGCUGUGAAUGAGUGUAUCUGUCAAUCUAAGGAAAGGGCUUUGCGCGAUAUGCACUAAAAUAUGAAUGUUACAGAUGCAGGAGAAACUGGAAUGAUCUGGCCAUCUACUGAAACUUGCUGAAGCAAACCGUUAUGACGUCUCUGGACCCUGUACUGUCCCAGGC